rnacentral:rRNA from 1 species
AAUACGUUCCCGGGCCUUGUACACACCGCCCGUCACGUCAUGAAAGCCGGGGGCGCCUGAAGCCGGCGGGGUAACCGUAAGGGGCCAGCCGUCGAGGGCGAACCCGGUGAUUGGGACG